AAUAAAUGCAUUUUUGAAGAGUUUACGUUUAACAUUUUAUUGUCCAUCUUAUUUAAAAAAUCAUGAUUAAUAUUUUUAUUGUUAUCAGAUGAUAAAACAUGUAUAGUACUUUAUGUGUGACUAUUUUUUUAUUUUCUUAAAAAAGAUUAUGAAAUAAGACGGGCGGUCAAACGUUGGACACGGAAAUAUAGUUAUA
rnacentral:pre_miRNA from 1 species